UGGACAACAGGUAGAGAUUCCUGUACCAGUGCUAAUUGUUUAACCGAUGGGGUGACACAGAAGGAUAGGGAAUCGCACGAAUGGAAAUGUGCGUCCAAGCAGUGAGUGUGAGAAGUAGGCAAAUCCGCUUCUCGCGAAGCAUGAGCUGUGAUGGGGAAGGAAAUUAAGUACGGAAGUUCCUGAUUUCACGCUGUCAAGAAAAGCCUCUAGGAAGAGUAGUACUGCCCGUACCGCAAACCGACACAGGUAGAUGAGGAGAGAAUCCUAAGGUGAGCGAGAGAACUCUCGUUAAGGAACUCGGCAAAAUGACCCCGUAACUUCGGGAGAAGGGGUGCUCUAUUAGGGUGCAAGCCCGAGAGAGCCGCAGUGAAUAGGCCCAGGCGACUGUUUAGCAAAAACACAGGUCUCUGCAAAACCGUAAGGUGACGUAUAGGGGCUGACGCCUGCCCGGUGCUGGAAGGUUAAGAGGAGUGCUUAGCUUCGGCGAAGGUACGAAUUGAAGCCCCAGUAAACGGCGGCCGUAACUAUAACGGUCCUAAGGUAGCGAAAUUCCUUGUCGGGUAAGUUCCGACCCGCACGAAAGGCGCAACGAUCUGGGCACUGUCUCAACGAGAGACUCGGUGAAAUUAUAGUACCUGUGAAGAUGCAGGUUACCCGCGACAGGACGGAAAGACCCCGUGGAGCUUUACUGCAACCUGAUAUGGAAUGUUUGUACCGCUUGUACAGGAUAGGUAGGAGCCGAAGAGACGUGUGCGCUAGCAUACGAGGAGGCAAUGGUGGGAUACUACCCUGGCUGUAUGACCAUUCUAACCCGCCACGCUUAGCGCGUGGGGAGACAGUGUCAGGUGGGCAGUUUGACUGGGGCGGUCG
rnacentral:rRNA from 1 species